rnacentral:rRNA from 1 species
CGCUUUGAGAUGGCCUCGCGUCCGAUUAGCUAGUUGGUGAGGUAACGGCCCACCAAGGCGACGAUCGGUAGCCGGACUGAGAGGUUGAACGGCCACAUUGGGACUGAGACACGGCCCAGACUCCUACGGGAGGCAGCAGUGGGGAAUAUUGCACAAUGGGGGAAACCCUGAUGCAGCGACGCCGCGUGGAGGAAGAAGGUCUUCGGAUUGUAAACUCCUGUUGUCUGAGGAAGAUAAUGACGGUACUCAACAAGGAAGCGACGGCUAACUACGUGCCAGCAGCCGCGGUAAAACGUAGGUCACAAGCGUUGUCCGGAAUUACUGGGUGUAAAGGGAGCGCAGGCGGGAGAACAAGUUGGAAGUGAAAUCCAUGGGCUCAACCCAUGAACUGCUUUCAAAACUGUUUUUCUUGAGUAGUGCAGAGGUAGGCGGAAUUCCCGGUGUAGCGGUGGAAUGCGUAGAUAUCGGGAGGAACACCAGUGGCGAAGGCGGCCUACUGGGCACCAACUGACGCUGAGGCUCGAAAGUGUGGGUAGCAAACAGGAUUAGAUACCCUGGUAGUCCACACCGUAAACGAUGAUUAAUGGGUGUUGGAGGAUUGACCCCUUCAGUGCCGCAGCUAACACAAUAAGUAAUCCACGUGGGGAGGUUCGCCCGCAAGGUUGAAACUCAAAGGAAUUGACGGGGGCCCGCACAAGCAGUGGAGUAUGUGGUUUAAUUUGAAGGAACGCGAAGAACCUUGCCAAGUCUUGACAUCCCUCGAGGAACAUAGAAAUAUGUUUUCUCUUCGCAGCAAGGAGACAGGUGGUGCAUGGUUGUUGUCAGCUCGUGUCGUGAGAUGGGGGGAUAAGUCCCGCAACGAGCGCAACCCUUAUGUUCUGUUAAUACGCAAGAGGAGUCUGGCCAGAGAGCCGUUGACAAAACGGAGGAAGGAGGGGGGGGGGUCAAAUCAUCAUGCCCACUAUGACUUGGGAGGCACACGUACUACAAUGGCGGGAAACAAAGAGAAGCAAGAGCGCGAGGAGGAGCAAAAAUCAGAAACAACGUCCCAGCUCGGAGUGCAGGAGGCAACUCGCCUGCACGAAAUAGGAAGAGUUAGUAAUAGUGGAUCAGCA